rnacentral:rRNA from 1 species
UACGUAGGUGACAAGCGUUGUCCGGAAUUAUUGGGCGUAAAGCGCGCGCAGGCGGUCCUUUAAGUCUGAUGUGAAAGCCCACGGCUCAACCGUGGAGGGUCAUUGGAAACUGGGGGACUUGAGUGCAGAAGAGGAGAGUGGAAUUCCACGUGUAGCGGUGAAAUGCGUAGAGAUGUGGAGGAACACCAGUGGCGAAGGCGACUCUCUGGUCUGUAACUGACGCUGAGGCGCGAAAGCGUGGGGAGCGAACAGG